UACGUAGGGGCCGAGCGUUGUCCGGAGUUAUUGGGCGUAAAGGGCGCGUAGGCGGUCCGACAAGUCAAAAGGUGAAAUCCCUCGGCUCAACUGAGGAACUGCCUUUGAAACUGUCGGACUUGAGUCCGGGAGAGGGUAGUGGAAUUCCCAAUGUAGCGGUGAAAUGCGUAGAUAUUGGGAGGAACACCAGUGGCGAAGGCGGCUACCUGGACCGGAACUGACGCUGAUGCGCGAAAGCGUGGGUAGCAAACAGG
rnacentral:rRNA from 1 species